UCAGGUGGACUCUCUGCCGGCACCACCUCCCGCAAGCUGGUUAUGCAUUUUUGGCAAGAAUAUCAAGGAAGGGAAGUCAUGUCCUUCUCAGAGCAUCAUAUCAGGAGGCACGCGAUCUCUCUUGGUUCCAGUAUCAGUGAUGUGAACUUUGAUCUCUUGCUUCAGAGCAAAUAGUCCCUUUGGAGCUCAGAACUACCUUCUAAAUUUGAUCUGAACUUAAGUUCUGUCCCCCUCUAUUCAGACUGAAGAUACAUGGUAUUCCUCUGUACGCCCCAGUGACUCAAAUUUCUACUCGGGACCAGACUUUUCUUGGUGAAUGACUCAGCAUUUUAUCCUCUGACAUUUUAAGAGAACCACUUUGCUAUUAAACUGAAGCCAUAUAUUAAAGUUAAACCCUGAAGCAAGCCUGGGUCCAACAAAGGUUAGACAAAGAUAAGACAAUUUGUCACACCUACCAGCCUGCAAAGUGCACGGCAGAAAUGAAAUGAGAUUCCAGAACCGGAACACGCUGGGGCCUUUGACUACAAAUUCUAAUGGAGAGAAACUCUUCUCGGGGGUGGCUGUAGCUCUGGCUUCGGACAGACCGUCUCUUGGCUGUGUUGAUAGACCACGGGGAGGGAUUCUGUGCUCCAGACCUGAGGCCCGAGUUAGGACAGCAUGUUGAAAGGGGGCUUAAAAGCUGGACUUCCAAAUUGGGAAAGUUGUAAAUUUGUAGUGAGUCAUGACUGAUUUUUGUUUUGUACCAAAGAAGAAUUGACGAAAUGGAAAAGAAAGGCUUCUUGUAUGAGCAUCCAGCAGGCAGGCUGUCAGUCGGAUGAUGGCACUUCUCUCAUCAUUUAUUUCAGGCUGCACAGAAGCGCUGAUGCCUUCUCUGCCCACAGAG
ensembl:lncRNA